AGACCAUCACUCUUAUACGGGAAAGGGGAGAAUAUACAUACAUCAACAUAUUCGUAAUGGAGGGAGAGCUCACACUCUAUUUUUUUCAUUAUUUUUUAUGCUCCAUCAAUACCAAACAAUACACACACAUAGAUAGAGAAUGAGUGAGGAAAUAGAAGGAGAUUAGUGAGAAGCAUAAGAAGACGCAGAGAGUUUGAGAUAGAUGACAAUCAAUCAAAGACCAAAUUUUCUGGCCUGUUUGGGUUGAAUCCAGCAAGAUUCGGAUUGAUCCCAAUGAGAAUUUGUAUAUGGGUCUAGAUUUGUUUCGUUCACAGUUCUUUUUUUGAGUAUUCCUCUGUUUCUUCUCAGAUUUUAUAUUUGAAUUGUUCUUUUAGGUUUGGUGAUUGUGUCAUCUGUUAUCGAGUUGAUAUUGUUUGUGGUUUAGGUUAUUCAUUGAGGAUUUUUUGGAUGACUCUUUAUUCCUUUCAUAAAUGAAUCACAAGGUCUAAUUAUAUUUUCUCUCCUUUUAAUUUUUACAUAAUUAUGAAUAAUUUAUGUACUUGGAAUGUUUGAAUCUUCGUUCUGUAUUGGUUGAUAUUGGAUUUGGAUAUGAAAACUUGAUUGGUGG
rnacentral:lncRNA from 1 species